UUGGAGGGCAAGUCUGGUGCCAGCAGCCGCGGUAAUUCCAGCUCCAAUAGCGUAUAUUAAAGUUGUUGCAGUUAAAAAGCUCGUAGUUGAAUUUCGGGACUAGUACGUCGGUCGUGCCUUAGGUACGUACUGGUGUUACUGGUUCCUACCUUCUGACGAACCAUCAUGUCAUUAAUUUGGUGUGGUGGGGAAUCAGGACUGUUACUUUGAAAAAACUUAGAGUGUUUAAAGCAGGCUCGCGCUUGAAUACAUUAGCAUGGAAUAAUGAAAUAGGACG
rnacentral:rRNA from 1 species